rnacentral:piRNA from 1 species
UCUCAUAGAUAUACAUAUAGGGUGUGUUC